GGGAAGUCUCGUCAUGUGACUUGCGAGAAAUAACGUGAAAUCGUACUUCCGGGCAGUUGUCAGGAUGGCAUUAUCAAUAAUGUACUAGACUCGCUACGUUCAAAACCACAUAGAGCUUACUACAAAAAGCGAGAGAGCGGUGGAUAACAACUGGGUUUAGAAAAUGUGUUCUAAAUAGAGCUCCGAGUUAUUACAGCGGUUGUUCAAGCGUCAAUACGAGACAUUUUCCAACAAAGUACAGAUAUAAAAGGGAAACAUCACAGCUGGAUAAAGCAUCCUAAGUCUGCACCUCGUAAAGCUAUGACAAUGAGAGAAAUGUAUCCACCCAGGCAAUCAGAAUAUAGAGUGCAACACGGAAGGUGCGCUGCAGCUCAAAGAGAGCCAUGGUUAUUGGCAUCAAGUUCCCCAUCAGCUUUACCUCACAGGCACCACUUGUGAUUCCAUAGUUUGAACACCAAUGAACAUAGAAGUGAUUCUCAUCCUUCGAGAGAAUUACUCAAUUGAAUUAAGGCAUCCCAUACAAAUAUAAAGUAAAACAGAUGCAUAAAA